UUGCAUACAGGCAACUAAAAAGUUAAAUCAAACCGCAUCAAAUUUCCCAUUUCCUCAUUAUCCCAAUUUGGUCAUUCCAUACUCAAGCUUAGGGUUUUAUAAAGUUCCAAAAGCUAAAACAAUAAGGCAUGACCUUUUUCAAUUCUAACCCUUCAAACCAUACUUAAAACCAAAACUUGAAACAACCUAGAUUGGAGACCAUAAACAAAAACCAAAACAAUGGAUCAAAAAGAUAUUUUUGAUCAACAUGAACCCAAUAUAAAAAAUAGUUCAGAUUAGAGGUGAAGCAAAACUAACUUGUAAAAUAAACAAGAAAAGGGAGUGAGCUGCUUAAGAGUGAAACCAAUGAGAAAGCCGAAAACAGAAAAAUGUCUUUCCCCUCAAUGUCUUGUCGAAUCAACGUGUUUUGGGAUGAUGGGAUGCUAAAUCACAACACAGGCAAAGAGGUGUUCGAUACAGAGAUGAAUCCUGGGUCGGGGUGGUAAUGAAGGGGAAAGAGAAGGGUAAGAGGGUUUAGCAAAGUGCUGGGAUGUGAAAAGGAGAAAGAUUGGAAAAUGUCUUACGAAAAAAAUAAAGGUAACAUAUUUUCCUAAAAAAAG
rnacentral:lncRNA from 1 species